GCUUACGGCCAUACCACUCUGAGCACGCCCGAUCUCGUCCGUCUCGGAAGCCAAGCAGGGUCGGGCCUGGUUAGUACUUGGACGGGAGACCGCCUGGGAAUACCAGGUGCUGUAAGCU
rnacentral:rRNA from 1 species